rnacentral:rRNA from 1 species
UACGGGGGGAGCAAGCGUUGUUCGGAUUUACUGGGCGUAAAGAGCUCGUAGGCGGCUCACUAAGUCGGGUGUGAAAUUUCGAGGCUCAACCUCGAAACGCCACCCGAUACUGGUGUGGCUAGAGUCCGGUAGGGGAGCGUGGAAUUCCUGGUGUAGCGGUGAAAUGCGCAGAUAUCAGGAGGAACACCAGCGGCGAAGGCGGCGCUCUGGGCCGGUACUGACGCUGAGGCGCGAAAGCUAGGGGAGCAAACGGG